GUACAAAUUAACUAAAAACACACAUAUACCGACACUGAUCUCGGGGUGUCUAACGCGUUGUUAUUACAACGUUUUGGAUCGAGAGAAGGGGUAUAUGGAGGCCUAAC
rfam:Glaciecola nitratireducens FR1064, complete genome.